rnacentral:snRNA from 1 species
GUGCUCACUCACUUUGGCAGCAUAGAUGCUAAAAUUGGAACAGUAUCAAGAUUAGCAUAGCAAGGAUGACACACACAUUUGUGAAGUCGUCCUUAUGUAU